rnacentral:rRNA from 1 species
UACGGAAGGGGCAAGCGUUGUUCGGAAUCAUUGGGCGUAAAGGGCGCGUAGGUGGUUCUGUAUGUCUACCGUGAAAGCAUACAGCUCAACUGUAUUUUGUCGGUAGAAACUGCAGGACUUGAGGCUGGGAGGGGCUGGUGGAAUUCCCUGUGUAGCGGUGAAAUGCGUAGAUAUCUGGAGGAACACCGGUGGCGAAGGCGGCAUCCUGGACCAACACUGACGCUGAUGAGCGAAAGCCAGGGGAGCAAACGGG